UACGGGGGGGGCAAGCGUUGUUCGGAAUUACUGGGCGUAAAGGGCUUGUAGGUGGCCAACUAAGUCAGACGUGAAAUCCCUCGGCUUAACCGGGGAACUGCGUCUGAUACUGGAUGGCUUGAGUGUGGGAGAGGGAUGCGGAAUUCCAGGUGUAGCGGUGAAAUGCGUAGAUAUCUGGAGGAACACCGGUGGCGAAGGCGGUUCUCUGGGCCUGUACUGACGCUGAGGAGCGAAAGCGCGGGGAGCGAACAGG
rnacentral:rRNA from 1 species